AUUACGCUUUGGUAAGUUUGAGAUAAGGCCAAGAAAUGUGCAUUCCAGAGGAUUCUAAUACAAAGAUUUAAAGGCUGAAAAAACAUCAGUGAAGGCUAUAGUCUUGGAUUACUAUGGAAAUGUUUGGCGAUAAAGUGAUAUAAAAUGUAACAGAGCAGCUACAAAGUCCCGCUGGUUCAAAAAUGAAUGCAUUUGAAAAACGACUUGAAAAUGUCACUACCACUUUGAAUAACCUUCAAAACUGCUUACAAGAGGAAUCCGGGCAAAAAGAAUAUAAAUACUGAAGCAGGG